rnacentral:rRNA from 1 species
AUGCAGUCGAGCGGUAGCACAGGGAGCUUGCUCCUGGGUGAGGAGCGGCGGACGGGUGAGUAAUGUCUGGGAAACUGCCUGAUGGAGGGGGAUAACUACUGGAAACGGUAGCUAAUACCGCAUAACGUCGCAAGACCAAAGAGGGGGACCUUCGGGCCUCUUGCCAUCAGAUGUGCCCAGAUGGGAUUAGCUAGUAGGUGGGGUAAUGGCUCACCUAGGCGACGAUCCCUAGCUGGUCUGAGAGGAUGACCAGCCACACUGGAACUGAGACACGGUCCAGACUCCUACGGGAGGCAGCAGUGGGGAAUAUUGCACGAUGGGCGCAAGCCUGAUGCAGCCAUGCCGCGUGUAUGAAGAAGGCCUUCGGGUUGUAAAGUACUUUCAGCGAGGAGGAAGGCAUUGUGGUUAAUAACCACAGUGAUUGACGUUACUCGCAGAAGAAGCACCGGCUAACUCCGUGCCAGCAGCCGCGGUAAUACGGAGGGUGCAAGCGUUAAUCGGAAUUACUGGGCGUAAAGCGCACGCAGGCGGUCUGUCAAGUCGGAUGUGAAAUCCCCGGGCUCAACCUGGGAACUGCAUUCGAAACUGGCAGGCUAGAGUCUUGUAGAGGGGGGUAGAAUUCCAGGUGUAGCGGUGAAAUGCGUAGAGAUCUGGAGGAAUACCGGUGGCGAAGGCGGCCCCCUGGACAAAGACUGACGCUC